AACAGGGGGNAGCCUUAAUACAUGCAAGUCGAGCGAACUGAUUAGAAGCUUGCUUCUAUGACGUUAGCGGCGGACGGGUGAGUAACACGUGGGCAACCUGCCUGUAAGACUGGGAUAACUCCGGGAAACCGGAGCUAAUACCGGAUAACAUUUUCUCUUGCAUAAGAGAAAAUUGAAAGAUGGUUUCGGCUAUCACUUACAGAUGGGCCCGCGGUGCAUUAGCUAGUUGGUGAGGUAACGGCUCACCAAGGCAACGAUGCAUAGCCGACCUGAGAGGGUGAUCGGCCACACUGGGACUGAGACACGGCCCAGACUCCUACGGGAGGCAGCAGUAGGGAAUCUUCCGCAAUGGACGAAAGUCUGACGGAGCAACGCCGCGUGAGUGAUGAAGGCUUUCGGGUCGUAAAACUCUGUUGUUAGGGAAGAACAAGUACAAGAGUAACUGCUUGUACCUUGACGGUACCUAACCAGAAAGCCACGGCUAACUACGUGCCAGCAGCCGCGGUAAUACGUAGGUGGCAAGCGUUAUCCGGAAUUAUUGGGCGUAAAGCGCGCGCAGGCGGUUUCUUAAGUCUGAUGUGAAAGCCCACGGCUCAACCGUGGAGGGUCAUUGGAAACUGGGGAACUUGAGUGCAGAAGAGAAAAGCGGAAUUCCACGUGUAGCGGUGAAAUGCGUAGAGAUGUGGAGGAACACCAGUGGCGAAGGCGGCUUUUUGGUCUGUAACUGACGCUGAGGCGCGAAAGCGUGGGGAGCACACAGGAUUAGAUACCCUGGUAGUCCACGCCGUAAACGAUGAGUGCUAAGUGUUAGAGGGUUUCCGCCCUUUAGUGCUGCAGCUAACGCAUUAAGCACUCCGCCUGGGGAGUACGGUCGCAAGACUGAAACUCAAAGGAAUUGACGAGGGCCGCCACAACCGGUGGAGCAGGUGGUUUAUUUCAAAGCAACGCGAGAAACUUACC
rnacentral:rRNA from 1 species